CAGUCGCCGCGGUAAUACAGAGGGUGCGAGCGUUAAUCGGAUUUACUGGGCGUAAAGCGUGCGUAGGCGGCUUCUUAAGUCGGAUGUGAAAUCCCUGAGCUUAACUUAGGAAUUGCAUUCGAUACUGGGAAGCUAGAGUAUGGGAGAGGAUGGUAGAAUUCCAGGUGUAGCGGUGAAAUGCGUAGAGAUCUGGAGGAAUACCGAUGGCGAAGGCAGCCAUCUGGCCUAAUACUGACGCUGAGGUACGAAAGCAUGGGGAGCAAACAGGAUUAGAACCCCUGUAGUCCCUGUCUCUUAUACA
rnacentral:rRNA from 1 species